CUGGGCGCCCUAUGAGCGGCGGGGCGGGGCGCGCAGGAGACGGCUGCGCUGCGCUGCGGGCGAGUAGGUCGGGGCCAUGGCGGAGAGCGACUGGGACACGGUCACGGUGCUGCGCAAGAAGGGGCCGAGCGCGGCCCAGGCCAAGUCCAAGCAGGCAAUCUUAGCAGCGCAGAGAAGAGGAGAAGAUGUAGAGACCUCCAAGAAAUGUAGGUAUUUCUGUCUGGGGGGUGGGUAGGGAAGGCCAGUUUCAUGUUUUCCUUUAACUUCCUGGUAACCCCUGUCACGGCUUAAGGGUUAACUGCACACACACCCCAGUCUUCCUCAAGGAUACCCACUUCAGAUUUCUGGCUCCUAGCUGUUGCCUCUCUCAGGCAGGGAUGCUUCUCUCUUCCCCCAGACAGGGGAUUUAGGCUUUUUGCAGUACCUCUGUGUUUAACCUUUCUGCAGGGGUUACAACAGUGUGUACUAGUUACAAAGCAAAUUGCAUUGAAUAGUAGGGUGAAAGCAUUACAGAGGGAACAUGUUAAACAAAUAAAAGUUCCCAUAUGCAUGGUAAAAGCUUACCAAAGGUCACUUUUCAUCCUAGGCGGCCCUAAUAAGCCAAAGUCUUUCCAACCCUUCUGCAAGGGUUCCCUCCCGUCUGCUCUAUUAGGCAGAAGGUCGUGGCCAUUUGUUGAAUUAGAAAGAAGACUCCCCGUGUCAGUUUAAUCUCAGGUUUUUUUAUGCCAAAAACCUUUCAUUGUCUGUCUGGUCUCUGGAAAACCCAAUUUGAACCGUUAUAUGCCAACCUCCCCAGGGGGUGAUACCUCUCUGGAGGUGUUUGCAUCCUGAGUGAUUCACCUUAAUUCCACUGGCCACCACACUGAUGAUUGGUGGUGGGUGGGAGGCACUGGGAGGGAGGGGGAGUUGCUGAUCAGCCAGACUAUCUCCCCCCCCCCCCCCCCCCCCAUGGAUAUUCCAGCCCUGGAGCACCCACAGAGUUGGCACCUGUGCUUUUACACUGCUCUGACUGUGUGAAGUGGACUCUUUCAGUGGAUAUAAACAUCACUUGCUCCUAAAUCAAGGCCCCUCUAUGCUUAUUGAAUUAUGUAAAAAGGACUUGGUCUAAAUGAGAAUCGGGUUCUGUAUCUUUUUAAAAAUAGACUUGCUUUUACAUAAAUUAAUUCAUUUAUGUAUUUUGCAUUUACAAAACUAUAAAAACAGAUAAAGCCUUUUUUGGGAAAUUACCAAAAAUAUAAUUUGGGCUAAAAUUCUUUAAUCCAAAAAUGCAGCCUGGAGCAAAUAUCUAAAAGAUAAGAUCCUAGUGGCUGAUGUAUAUAAAAUAGAACUGUUAGAGUCUUUAA